GACGGAGGAUGCAAGUGUUAUCCGGAAUCACUGGGCGUAAAGCGUCUGUAGGUGGUUUAAAAAGUCCACUGUUAAAAAUUGAAGCUUAACUUCAAAGAUGCCGUGGAAACUUUUAAACUUGAGUAUGAUAGGGGUAGAGGGAAUUUCCAGUGGAGCGGUGAAAUGCGUAGAUAUUGGAAAGACCACCAAUGGCGAAGGCACUCUGCUGGGCCGACACUGACACUGAGAGACGAAAGCUAGGGGAGCGAAUGGG
rnacentral:rRNA from 1 species